rnacentral:rRNA from 1 species
UACGAAGGGUGCAAACGUUGCUCGGAAUUAUUGGGCGUAAAGCGCACGUAGGCGGCUUAGUAAGUUGGAUGUGAAAUCCCUCGGCUUAACCAAGGAAGUGCAUCCAAAACUACUGAGCUUGAGUACUAAAGAGGAUCGCGGAAUUCCCGGAUGUAGAGGUGAAAUUCGAUAGAUAUCGGGAGGAACACCAGUGGCGAAGGCGGCGAUCUGGGUAGAUACUGACGCUGAGGUGCGAAAGCGUGGGAGCAAACAGG